GUGGGUGAUUGUUUGUCUAUAUUGGGGACACACUUUGGUAAGUUAGUAGUGUCCCCACUUUGAGUCAGCAGUAUGGGAAAUGUGAGUUCAGGUCCUGAGUGACCAUAUAUGUAUGUAUAUAUGUAUGUAUGUAUAUAUGUGUGUGUAUAUGUAUAUGUAUGUAUAUAUAAGAUAGCAGUACUGUUAAACAAAUGGAGGUUUUAAAAAUACAUAGGGAUUAAGGAGAGAAUGCAGGUAACUUG